GCUUCAUUAAUUUCCUCUGAAUUUCCUGCAUUGACAGACGACGUCGUUUUCAUCAUUUCUCGUCUCAAUCACUCUAUAUAUAUAUAUUGAUAAACAAGGCAAUAAUAUAAGCAAUUUGCAAAAUAUCAUAAUAAUAUCAAGAUAUGAGGCAGCUACUAUGGAUGGUCUUACGCUUCUUAUUUGUUAUUCUUAUUCUGUCAUCUCAACAUCUCUCCUUUGCCGCCCCCGACCGCCCCUGUAGAAGAAAUCAUGGUCGAAUACCAGGUGGUCGAAUACCAGGUGAACAGGACUGUGCCCCAAAACAAGCUCCUCCACCCCCAGCAGAAGGUUCGGGUGGACAUCCUUAACAAGAGACAUUACAAGAAAUAAUAGUUUUAGAGACGAUUCUAUAUCGCCUCUAAUAUUCAUAUUUAUAUAUAUAAUUAUUGGUCGAGAUAUUGUAAAAUUUUAUAAUAUGUCAACAAAUUAUAUAUGAUAACAUUAGUUGUGCCUAUUUCGUUUGAUGUGGGAAUAUUGUAUUUUACUAUUUUCAUCACAUGCGUAUUGUGUAAUGUAUUGCUAUGCAAACUCUUAUUGAAUAACUAUGUUCACAUUUAUAUUCUUCUCAAUAAA